rnacentral:lncRNA from 1 species
AAGCUAGGAAGCUUGAUAAGAAUUCAUCAAUGGUGGUCACAGUCAACAACGAACGUUUUUACGAGAAUUCUCUCAACUAAAAUAAACACAAGGUUUUAUCAAAAUUAAACUUGUUUUAUUAAUGAAUAAGCCAAAACUAUAAACAGGCAAUAUGCCUUGGUUGAAAUAAAAGAUAAUAUCAUAUUUAAUCAAAUCUGAAAUGCAAACGAAAUCCUAACUAAUCCUAAGAUAAUGUGAAGAUAAUGAAAUUUAAAAUCCUAAUUUAUGAAGUAGAUAAGAUCUAAUUCAAUCUGGUUGGUUUGUUGAAAAUAUAAUGUUCGGCUAAGUUGUUGAUCAAAACAAAUCUAUUUUUAUUUGAAUCAUUAAUUGUAGCUACCCAACCUCUUAACUUUAUCUCAUUUGAUUUAAUCAAUUUAUUCAUUGUCUUAUCUCCUUGUUGAAUUGAGAUUAUCCUUAGAGAUAGAGUCCUAGCCGAACCCUCUUGUCCUUCCUAGCUUGAGCCAUGCCAUGUCUUGUCCUUGACCUUGUUCAAGAGUUGUAGCCGUGAGCCAAUGAUGCACCUAGCCAUGCACCUUGUCCUAGUCGUGCCUAGAUGAAUCCUUUAGCGUAGGUGAGUUACUUGGCCAUUAAUGAACCAUGAUACAAAUAAAAUCUCAACCUCAUCUUACAUGAAUUAAAUACUAACAUACUUUGAUAUUAAAUAAAGAACUUCUAAGACAUAAUUAAAUCCUAAGACUGCUCAUGAGAAUAAAUUAUCAUUUAUUACUCAAGCAAAUAAAUAAAUAAACUAAAAACUAUCAUAAUUUCUUUCCAAGAAUAUGAACUCCAAAUGGCUCUCUUAAUUUUAAGAUUAUCCUCCACAAAUAAUAGGUUUUCUCACUUGAUUUACAUCAAGAAUUGUUUCUAUUUAUGCUUGAGUUGAAUUAUUGGUGGUUGUUGCACCUGAUGGAAUUAUCAUGGAAUGAGAGGUGGAGGUUUGUGUGUAGCAAGAAUGGAAAUGAUGAAACCUUGGGUUAGCACUCAACAUUGGUAGACAUAGGAAUAUACUGUAGUAGGGAUGAUGUGUAGGGUUUAAAGAUUUGGGGUGGAUGAAUAUUCUUUUAGAUGCAAGCAAUUUAGAUGGUAUUAUCUCUAUGGGAAGUAUAUUGAUAUGUUAUUCAAAAGUGGAGGGUCGAAUCAACAGUAAUUUUGUUGAAUUGUGGUUUUCCAUUGAACUUCCUUUUCAUUCUUGACUAAUAGUAUACCCGUGCAUUCGCACGGGUCGCUCCAUCUAAACUCUUUUAAGUAGAAAUAGUAGAAUAGAAAAGUACAUAAAAACUUAUGAUCAACAAUUUGAAGUGAUAAAUUAUUAAAAUAUUCAAUUCAAAGUUAUCAAUCAUAUUAUAUAGUCAAUCAUACAAUUUAUAAAAGCACAAACUAAAAAUGAAGAAUAUAAGUUUAACUAAAGUAUAUUAAAGUAUUACAAAAAUAGUAUCGUAUGCAUCCUUUUGAUCAUAUCUCAAAAAAUAAACUACAUGAUUUUAAUCAUCUUUUAAAGUCUACACAAAUAAUUUAAAAAUGAGCAAAUAAUUUAUAUUUUUUAUUUAUUAAUAUGUUUAUAUUAAAAUUGCAUGAAGUAAAAAUAUAUUUUUAAACAUUUGAGUUUUUCCCAAUGCAUUAAGUUAGUUAACUAUACAAUAGGUAGAAGUACAAAAUAAAAAACCAAUAAUAUAAGUAUGGCAGAAUAUGUUUUAAUGUACUUUAGUUAGCAUUUUCCUUAAACAAAUUUCACCCAAACGUAAAUAUUUUUAGUUGGAAAUCAAAGCAAACUUAUAUACGGCAAUGUCAAGCAUCAAGAUGUUGAUAAUAAUAACAACACCAUAUAGAAAUAUGUUCUCUUUCUUUCAUCAAAUCCCCAAGAAAAAAAUACCUUAAUACACUUGAAUAAAUGAUAAGGUUCCUAAUGUAGAAUCAAUAAAUUAUAUACAAAAAUAAACCUUAAUGUUAUUGAUCCAAAAUAUGAUUUUAAAACUUUGAAAAACUUAUGUUCUUUAUUAGUCUAUCUCUCUAGUUGUUUUAUGAUAAUAUUUGGUCCCCUUACUUAUUGAAGUAGAUAAGAGAGUUGAUUAAAACAAACAGGAAACUAUAAAAAUAAAUUUUUAUAGUAACAACAGAUCAUUUAGGUGAAAGUGUACAAUGGAAUGCAGUAUGUAACUCAUAAAUACUCAUGCAAUGGUAGGACCAUUAUAAAAUCCAGUAACAUCACUUUGAUCCUACUUCCACGUAGCAAAAAAACAUAAGAAUAAGUUUUCAAAGUAAGACUAUUAGUAUGGUGAAAUAUGUUUUAAUGUGCUCUAAUUACCAUUUUCCUUAAACAAAUUUCACCGAACCGUCAAUAUUUUUAGUUGAAAAUCAGAGUAAAUCCAUAUACAAUAAUCUCAAGCAUGAAGUUGUUGAUAACAAUAACAACACCUUAUAGAAAAAAAUGUUCUCUUUCUUUCACCAAGUCCCCAAGAAAAAAAAUCAUAAUACACUUAAAUAAAUGAUAAGGUUCCUAGUGUAGAACUGAUAAAUUAUAUAAAAAAAUAAAUCCUAAUGUUAUUAAUCCAAAAUAUAAUUUUAAAACUUUGAAAAACUUCUCUUGUUCUUUAUUAGUCUAUCUCUCUAGUUGUUUUAUGACAAUAUUUAAUUCAUUUACUUAUUGAAGUAGAUAAGAGAGAUGAUUAAAACAAAGAGGAAACCAUAAAAAUAAUUUUUUAUAGUAAUAUGUAACAUCACAAUAAAACUGAUCAUUUACUUGAAAGUUUAAAAUGGAAUGAAGUACAAAACUCAUAAAUGUUUCAUCUCCAUGAGUAGGACCACUAUAAAAUCCAAUAACAUACGUAGGAAAAAACAUAAGAGUAAGUUUUCAAAGUAAGACUAAAAAUAAACAUAAAAAAAAAAGAUAAAUUUUCGCCUACAAAUAAAGUACAUAAGUGCUCUAGUCAUAAUUUUCAUCAAGCAAAUUUUACCCAACUAUUAGAAUAUAGAGCAAGAAAUUAGAGAAACCCAUAACAAAUACAAUUAACACAUUAAACAACAAUCUCAAAAAUCAAAUAAUCUGUAGCAAUAAAAAUAUAUAUCAUAAUCUCAUAUAUUAUUUACCUAAACCCCCAUAGUAGUAGACAUCAAUGAUCAACUUUCUCAAAACAUUUAUGUUGGAUAUUUAUUAGACGUAAAUAACAACACCAUAUAGAAAAAACCUUUGUUUCUUAUGCAAGUUUCCCAACUAAAGAUACUAUAAUACACUUAAACAAAUCUUAAAGUUCCCAACCUAGAACCAACAAAUUCUAUAUAAAAAUAGACCUUAACGUUUAUGUUCGAAAACAUGAUUUUAUGAUGCAGACAUUGCCUUAACUUUUCACUCCUUCAAACAUACAUGAUUGGAAGUGUGAAGAUCCAAUAAUCAUUCAAUAUAAUUUUAGGAAAAGAUACUUAUGGGUAACAACUACCCCAAAUAGUAUGGUAUGAGUACCAUGUAAGUUUAGUCAUUACAUAUUUAAUCAGUAUAUAUUUAUAAUGAACCAUAUUUUUUUGGGAUUAUAUUUAUAAGGUCAUUUGUUAGCAUACAUGAUGAGUGAUUAUGUUUUAUUUUAGAUUGAUGUUCAUUACACUUUAUACUAUGAAUUUGUUGUUUUUAAUAUUUUAAAUUCAUACAAUCAUAAAUGUGUAUGUUUAGAAUUAAUUUUAAUAUCAAAGUUUUUAAUAAUUCAAUGUUUACACGUGCAACAUUGUUUUCCUAUUGUCACUACUCUGAACUCUUUUAUUACUAUUAAUUUUAAUAUCAAAGUUUUUAAUAAUUCAAUGUUUACACGUGCAACAUUGUUUUCCUAUUGUUACUACUCUGAACUCUUUUAUUACUAUUCAUCUUAAACUGAUGUUUACCUUAUUUAAAUUAACCUUAUGAUAUAGUGGUGAAAUACUACUAAUGUUUGUCUUUAAUGAUGAAUGACUUGUUUUUUUUUGUGAGUUGCAAUAUUAGCUUUUCUUAUAAAGUCAAAUUUAUGAGGUUUUUUUAGCAUAUCUGUAGAAUGAUUAUAUUUUAUUUUAGAUUGAUGUUUAUUACAUUUAAAUAUUGAAUAUUUACGCGUGCAAUAUUAAUAUUGAUUUAUGAUGACAUGUGUGUAAUAUUAGCAUUUGUAUAUUAUGUGCAAUUUUUUUCUGACUAUGUUUUAGGAGAAGAAAAUAAAUGGAGGAUGUGAUGAAAUAAUGAGGGGAUUUCACUUUGUGGUUAAUUUAAUCUAUGAUUUAUCAUUAUUAUUGCUUUUAUGAUUGUAUCCCAUAUUAUAAUUAUUGCAGUAAUAUUAUCAUUAUAGUUAUAUUAUUAUCAUCUUAAACCCAAAUUAAAUUUGAUAUACCAAAAAAUCAUAAAAGUAUGACUGUUUGAAUUAUUACCAAUAUUGAUUGUUGAAAGUAUAUCAUUUUAAAAUUACUCGUAACAAAUAAAACUUAAAUUGUAUGAGAUAAUAUACAUUUUCUAUAUAAAUAUAAGGACUUAUUUUUGUAUAAUAUUUUUCGGAAUUAUGUUUAUAAGUAUCAUAUAAAUUUAUAAGCUCUUUUUUUAAUAUAUAUCGUGAAUGAUUAUACUUUAUGUUAGAUUGAUGUUUAUUAUGUUUAAAUAUUUAAAAAUAUACACGUACAACAUUAGCAUAAAUCUAUAAUGAUUAUAUACAACAUUACCCAGAUAUCCCAAAUGUUAUUAUACUUUUUACAUCGAUCUUUCUUAUAUUAUUAUAGUUUAUAUUAUUGUUUAACUUGUUCCUUUUACAUAUAAAAGUUAUAUUCUUUUAAAAAGAUUGAAAUUUAAUUUCUUUCAUUUGGAAUAUUUUUUUUCUCAAUACAUCAUUUAAAGUUGUGAUAUUUCUAUUAUUUUUUCAUCGACAAACAUAUGUGGUAUUUUAAUGGACGUAUUUUAAAUAAUAUGUGUACAUAUUUUCCUAAUAAAAAUUGGCACCUUCAAUUGCAUUAUAUAAUUACAAUAUUUUAUUUAUCAUCAUUUUCAUAUUCUUUCAUGUUCAUAUUCUUUCAUUUUUCCUAAUAUUUAGACAUCAUAUAAUUACAGGUAGAAGUUAUUUUAAUAACAUUUGGUAAUAAUUACAUACGAUUUGAGUUUUAUUUAUUAGGAGUUAAUUUAAAAUCAAAUAAUAAAGAAUUAUAAAUAUAUAUUCAUAAUGAGUUAUUUUAUGUACAAUUGUAUUUAAUAAGCGUUACAAUGCUAUUAAGAGAAAUAACUAUGAAAGAAACUUACCUGUUAAUUCAAGUUUCAUAUUUUAAGAAAUAUUUAUAGUAUAUAUAUAUAAUAUAUAUAAAUGAUGAAUGUUGUACAUUAAAAUAGUGAUUCAAAAUAAAUAGUCAUAUUGUUAUUUUGUAAUAAACUUCAAGUUUCACUGGUAUUAUUUACAAACUUUAAGUUUUAUUGGUAUUAUUUUUCAUUCAUUUCUCAUGAGCAAGUGAGUAAGUGGGGAAUGAUUAACGUUUAACAAAAUCCAAGAUGGGUUUGAAUCUAUACAAUACUCUAAGUCUUGUAGUUGGUCUAUUGGUAGUUGACUUAUCUCUUCUAUCUUUGGUGCCUCCAUGACCGUUUUAACUCUUCUUUUGCUUCAAAACCAUAAUGCUAAAGAAUAAUAAGGGGAAAAAUAACAGGAUAUGAGAAAAAAGGAGAAUGGAAAAGAUCAUAGAUGACUAAAGUAAGAGAGAGAAUGAGAAGGGGGAAAGGGAUAGACAAAAAAGGUUGAAGGAACACUAUAGUGUGAAAGAUAACAACCCAUGUAUAGAAAAUGCAAAAGAAGCUAUAAGAUCUGUGAUAUUAAACUAAAAUUUGCAGAAAAAAUUCAUUUUUACUAAUAUUAGUUUGUGACAGUGACAUAGUAAGCAUACAUAUAUACAAAAAAUGAGAUAUUAUACAAAAAAUGUUAUCUUGAACUCAAAAAGAAUGAAAUAAGAUUCAUCCAACAAAAGUGACCAAAAAAGUAUGAACUUGUUAGGUAAAAAUGUCACCUUAUUAGCAAACGUUGGAAAGAAAAAGGGAUAAGUAGAGAAAGUAACAUAGUUGAAGUGAUAUUAUAGUGUGAAACAUAACAUAUGAGGCACAAAGAAAAAAUGCAAAUAAAAUAUAAGCUAUGAUGAUAUUGAACAAAAAUUUGCAAAGACAGCUCAUUUUUAUCAAUAUUAGUUUAAGAUAGUAACACAGUGAACAUGCAUACAAAAAAUAACACCAAAAAAAUUCAAAACAGGGUAUAAUGAGAAAUCAUACAAAAAUGUUAUCUUGAACUCAAAAAGAAGGAAAAAGAUUCAUCCAACAAAAGUGACAGGAAAAAUGUUAACUUGUUAAGUAAAAACGUUACCUUGUUAGUAAAUGUUGAAAAGAGAAACCUUUGAGUGAAUGAAUGAGUAGGAAUAGACGUGAAUGAGUG